GACGGAGGAGGCUAGCGUUGUUCGGAAUUACUGGGCGUAAAGCGCGCGCAGGCGGUCCUGCAAGUCAGGGGUGAAAGCCCGGGGCUCAACCUCGGAACUGCCCUUGAGACUGCGGGACUCGAGACCGGGAGAGGAGAGUGGAAUUCCCAGUGUAGAGGUGAAAUUCGUAGAUAUUGGGAAGAACACCAGUGGCGAAGGCGGCUCUCUGGCCCGGUACUGACGCUGAGGCGCGAAAGCGUGGGGAGCAAACAGG
rnacentral:rRNA from 1 species